rnacentral:rRNA from 1 species
AUACGAAGGGGGCAAGCGUUGUUCGGGAUAACUGGGCGUAAAGCGCACGUAGGCGGAAUGUUAAGUUAGAGGUGAAAUCCCAGGGCUCAACCCUGGAACGGCCUUUAAUACCGGCAAUCUAGAGACCGAGAGAGGUGAGUGGAAUUCCGAGUGUAGAGGUGAAAUUCGUAGAUAUUCGGAGGAACACCAGUGGCGAAGGCGGCUCACUGGCUCGGUACUGACGCUGAGGUGCGAAAGCGUGGGAGCAAACAGGAUUAGAUACCCUAGUAGUCC